rnacentral:rRNA from 1 species
UACGUAGGUGGCAAGCGUUGUCCGGAUUUAUUGGGUUUAAAGGGUGCGUAGGCGGCUUUGUAAGUCAGUGGUGAAAACUUAGAGCUUAACUCUGAGACUGCCAUUGAUACUGCAGAGCUUGAAUUCAAACGAGGUUGGCGGAAUUGAAGGUGUAGCGGUGAAAUGCAUAGAUAUCUUCAAGAACACCGAUAGCGAAGGCAGCUAACUAGAAUGAUAUUGACGCUGAGGCACGAAAGCGUGGGGAGCAAAC